GACGAACGCUGGCGGCGUGCCUAAUACAUGCAAGUAGAACGCUGAAGGGAGAGCUUGCUCUUCUGGAUGAGUUGCGAACGGGUGAGUAACGCGUAGGUAACCUGCCUGGUAGCGGGGGAUAACUAUUGGAAACGAUAGCUAAUACCGCAUAACAUUGACUAUUGCAUGAUAGUCAAUUAAAAGGUGCAAAUGCACCACUACCAGAUGGACCUGCGUUGUAUUAGCUAGUUGGUGGGGUAACGGCUCACCAAGGCGACGAUACAUAGCCGACCUGAGAGGGUGAUCGGCCACACUGGGACUGAGACACGGCCCAGACUCCUACGGGAGGCAGCAGUAGGGAAUCUUCGGCAAUGGACGGAAGUCUGACCGAGCAACGCCGCGUGAGUGAAGAAGGUUUUCGGAUCGUAAAGCUCUGUUGUAAGAGAAGAACGAGUGGAGAGGGAAAGUUCACAC
rnacentral:rRNA from 1 species